rnacentral:rRNA from 1 species
AUUGAACGCUGGCGGCAGGCCUAACACAUGCAAGUCGAACGGUAACAGGAAACAGCUUGCUGUUUCGCUGACGAGUGGCGGACGGGUGAGUAAUGUCUGUGAAACUGCCUGAUGGAGGGGGAUAACUACUGGAAACGGUAGCUAAUACCGCAUAACGUCGCAAGACCAAAGAGGGGGACCUUCGGGCCUCUUGCCAUCGGAUGUGCCCAGAUGGGAUUAGCUAGUAGGUGGGGUAACGGCUCACCUAGGCGACGAUCCCUAGCUGGUCUGAGAGGAUGACCAGCCACACUGGAACUGAGACACGGUCCAGACUCCUACGGGAGGCAGCAGUGGGGAAUAUUGCACAAUGGGCGCAAGCCUGAUGCAGCCAUGCCGCGUGUAUGAAGAAGGCCUUCGGGUUGUAAAGUACUUUCAGCGGGGAGGAAGGGAGUAAAGUUAAUACCUUUUCUCAUUGACGUUACCCGCAGAAGAAGCACCGGCUAACUCCGUG